rnacentral:rRNA from 1 species
AACGAACGCUGGCGGCAUGCCUAACACAUGCAAGUCGAACGAGACCUCCCGGCCUAGUUGCGCACGUGUGCGUACCGCGUGGUAACCUGCCCUUAGGUUCCCUAUCCCUCCCUUUAAGGUAUCUUCAUACCACUUAAUGUCUUCCGACCUAAGAUGUCUGGCUUUUGGGUGGGCCCGCGUUGGUUUGGCUAGUUGGUAGGGUAAUAGCCUCCCAAGGCGUCGAUCCAUGGCUGGUCGGAGAAGAGGAUCAGCCGGACUGGAACUGAGACACGGCCCAGACUCGGACGGAAGGGAGCAGUAGAGAAUAUUAGGGGAUGAACGAAAGUCUAAUCAAGCAAUGCGGCGUAAGAGAUGAAGGCCGUAGGGUUGUAAAGCUCUUUGAGCCGAGAUGAUAGUGACAGUACCGGGUGAAUAAGCACCGGCUAACUACGUG